GCGUAAUGAUGGCCAGGCUGUCUCCACCCGAGACUCAGUGAAAUUGAACUCGCUGUGAAGAUGCAGUGUACCCGCGGCAAGACGGAAAGACCCCGUGAACCUUUACUAUAGCUUGACACUGAACAUUGAGCCUUGAUGUGUAGGAUAGGUGGGAGGCUUUGAAGCGUGGACGCCAGUCUGCGUGGAGCCGACCUUGAAAUACCACCCUUUAAUGUUUGAUGUUCUAACGUGGACCCGUGAUCCGGGUUGCGGACAGUGUCUGGUGGGUAGUUUGACUGGGGCGGUCUCCUCCUAAAGAGUAACGGAGGAGCACGAAGGUUGGCUAAUCCUGGUCGGACAUCAGGAGGUUAGUGCAAUGGCAUAAGCCAGCUUGACUGCGAGCGUGACGGCGCGAGCAGGUGCGAAAGCAGGUCAUAGUGAUCCGGUGGUUCUGAAUGGAAGGGCCAUCGCUCAACGGAUAAAAGGUACUCCGGGGAUAACAGGCUGAUACCGCCCAAGAGUUCAUAUCGACGGCGGUGUUUGGCACCUCGAUGUCGGCUCAUCACAUCCUGGGGCUGAAGUAGGUCCCAAGGGUAUGGCUGUUCGCCAUUUAAAGUGGUACGCGAGCUGGGUUUAGAACGUCGUGAGACAGUUCGGUCCCUAUCUGCCGUGGGCGCUGGAGAACUGAGGGGGGCUGCUCCUAGUACGAGAGGACCGGAGUGGACGCAUCACUGGUGUUCGGGUUGUCAUGCCAAUGGCACUGCCCGGUAGCUAAAUGCGGAAGAGAUAAGUGCUGAAAGCAUCUAAGCACGAAACUUGCCCCGAG
rnacentral:rRNA from 1 species